AGUCGAACGCUGAAGCCUGGUGCUUGCACCGGGUGGAUGAGUGGCGAACGGGUGAGUAACACGUGAGUAACCUGCCCCUGACUUCGGGAUAAGCCCGGGAAACUGGGUCUAAUACCGGAUACGACUGCCGGACGCAUGUCUGGUGGUGGAAAGUUUUUUCGGUUGGGGAUGGGCUCGCGGCCUAUCAGUUUGUUGGUGAGGUAAUGGCUCACCAAGACGACGACGGGUAGCCGGCCUGAGAGGGCGACCGGCCACACUGGGACUGAGACACGGCCCAGACUCCUACGGGAGGCAGCAGUGGGGAAUAUUGCACAAUGGGGGAAACCCUGAUGCAGCGACGCAGCGUGCGGGAUGACGGCCUUCGGGUUGUAAACCGCUUUCAGCAGGGAAGAAGCGCAAGUGACGGUACCUGCAGAAGAAGUACCGGCUAACUACGUGCCAGCAGCCGCGGUAAUACGUAGGGUACGAGCGUUGUCCGGAAUUAUUGGGCGUAAAGAGCUCGUAGGUGGUUGGUCACGUCUGCUGUGGAAACGCAACGCUUAACGUUGCGCGUGCAGUGGGUACGGGCUGACUAGAGUGCAGUAGGGGAGUCUGGAAUUCCUGGUGUAGCGGUGAAAUGCGCAGAUAUCAGGAGGAACACCGGUGGCGAAGGCGGGACUCUGGGCUGUAACUGACACUGAGGAGCGAAAGCAUGGGGAGCGAACAGGAUUAGAUACCCUGGUAGUCCAUGCCGUAAACGUUGGGCACUAGGUGUGGGGGGCAUUCCACGUUCUCCGCGCCGUAGCUAACGCAUUAAGUGCCCCGCCUGGGGAGUACGGUCGCAAGGCUAAAACUCAAAGGAAUUGACGGGGGCCCGCACAAGCGGCGGAGCAUGCGGAUUAAUUCGAUGCAACGCGAAGAACCUUACCAAGGCUUGACAUACACCGGACCGUCCUGGAAACAGGUCCUCUUCUUUGAAGCUGGUGUACAGGUGGUGCAUGGUUGUCGUCAGCUCGUGUCGUGAGAUGUUGGGUUAAGUCCCGCAACGAGCGCAACCCUCGUUCUAUGUUGCCAGCACGUGAUGGUGGGAACUCAUAGGAGACUGCCGGGGUCAACUCGGAGGAAGGUGGGGAUGACGUCAAAUCAUCAUGCCCUUUAUGUCUUGGGCUUCACGCAUGCUACAAUGGCUGGUACAGAGAGAGGCGAACCCGUGAGGGCAAGCGAAUCCCUUAAAGCCAGUCUCAGUUCGGAUCGUAGUCUGCAAUUCGACUACGUGAAGUCGGAGUCGCUAGUAAUCGCAGAUCAGCAACGCUGCGGUGAAUACGUUCCCGGGCCUUGUACACACCGCCCGUCAAGUCACGAAAGUCGGUAACACCCGAAGCCGGUGGCCUAACCGUAAGGAGGGGGCCG
rnacentral:rRNA from 1 species